CCUACGGGAGGCUGCAGUCGAGAAUCAUUCACAAUGGGGGAAACCCUGAUGGUGCGACGCCGCGUGGGGGAAUGAAGGUCUUCGGAUUGUAAACCCCUGUCAUGUGGGAGCAAAUUAAAAAGAUAGUACCACAAGAGAAAGAGACGGCUAACUCUGUGCCAGCAGACGCGGUAAUACAGAGGUCUCAAGCGUUGUUCGGAAUCAAUGGGCGUAACGCGUGCGUAGGCUGUUUAGUAAGUCGUGUGUGAAAGGCGCGGGCUCAACCCGCGGACGGCACAUGAUACUGCGAGACUAGAGUAAUGGAGGGGGAACCGGAAUUCUCGGUGUAGCAGUGAAAUGCGUAGAUAUCGAGAGGAACACUCGUGGCGAAGGCGGGUGCCUGGACAUUAACUGACGCUGAGGCACGAAGGCCAGGGGAGCGAAAGGGAUUAGAGACCCCAGUAGUC
rnacentral:rRNA from 1 species